CGAGGGCCCACGUCUCUGUAGUAUCUUGUGAUUUACAAAGCGCUUUGUGUCCAUUAUCUACCAGAGCCUCAAGGCAAACUUGGAAUAGAUGUGUUAUUCUGGCCUUUAUUGUUUUUAUCUUACAGAUUAACAGACUUAGACAGCUGGAGGGACAUGAAAAAGAGAUGGAUGACUGGAGGGAAACAUCACUGCAUGUAAGGUGAAACUAAAAUCCAUAACAGCAACAGAGACUGGCCCAAUGUCAUCCUGCUGGGCUGCCUCAAGGAUCAGCCUGGAAAUCAGGCCAUUCACCUCCUAAGUCUCUGCCUGUUUAGUCCCAACCUGCCUGCCACAAAUCCAUCCAUCACUUCAUCAAGUUUGUAGGCUUGUCAGCAGGGCACCUCUGGAUCAAUGAACCAGCCCACAGGCAAGGAACUGACCAGAUUUAGCGAUGCUGCUGCAAAUUACAUGUUCCCUCUAUCAAUGAUGAAAUGGUAAUUACAGACCAGAAAUAAUGCUGGGGAGGAACUGCUUCGCUCUUAGCUCGUUUCUGUUUUUGGACAGCUCAUGUUUUAUGUAACGAGAACGUCCAAGUCUGCAGCUCUUCAAGGUGGACAGGAAACUUUUCUCACAACAGCUGGUAGAGUUAAGUACUACAAGUGUUACUGGAUCCAUUUUACUGAUGGACCUCACUCAGACAGGAAAUUCUGCUGCUGCGGCUGCUGUUGUUAUUUUAAAAGCAAUGUGUGAAUUUGGAGCCAGAGACCCCGCCCUAACAAAUGCUCUUUGGUAGUUGUGUGACUUUGGGGAAAGGCAGUCUUCCUGCGAUCCAGUGUUUACCACAAUUUCUCUCAUAGAUGCUUAAUAAAAUGAUUGUUGACUUAGAGAUCAGUUUCCUCAUCUGUGAAAAUAAAAGAUCAGACCAGCCAAUCCCUCUGGUCUCUUUCAUCACUGAAA